rnacentral:rRNA from 1 species
GAUGAACGCUGGCGGCGUGCCUAAUACAUGCAAGUCGAGCGAACAGACGAGGAGCUUGCUCCUCUGACGUUAGCGGCGGACGGGUGAGUAACACGUGGAUAACCUACCUAUAAGACUGGGAUAACUUCGGGAAACCGGAGCUAAUACCGGAUAAUAUAUUGAACCGCAUGGUUCAAUAGUGAAAGACGGUUUUGCUGUCACUUAUAGAUGGAUCCGCGCCGCAUUAGCUAGUUGGUAAGGUAACGGCUUACCAAGGCAACGAUGCGUAGCCGACCUGAGAGGGUGAUCGGCCACACUGGAACUGAGACACGGUCCAGACUCCUACGGGAGGCAGCAGUAGGGAAUCUUCCGCAAUGGGCGAAAGCCUGACGGAGCAACGCCGCGUGAGUGAUGAAGGUCUUCGGAUCGUAAAACUCUGUUAUUAGGGAAGAACAAAUGUGUAAGUAACUAUGCACGUCUUGACGGUACCUAAUCAGAAAGCCACGGCUGACUACG